AAUCGCAGAGGGGAACUACCAAGGAAGUCUAUAUUAUAAAUGCUCCCAAAAUAACCAGAGUCCUGAGUUCACUGAACUCAGUAACAGCACCACAGAGGUCUCUCUGCACCUGUUUUUAAAAAAAAACAUGCAAGAUAAUCACUGAAAACUGCACCUUAAAUCUAAAGUACAUACUUCAUACCUCGAUUUUUAGCUAAAAAAAAAAA